rnacentral:lncRNA from 1 species
UCUCUCUCUAGAACUCCCUCUUCACCACUUUCACCACCUCGCACCAUCACCUCCUUGGCACUGAUCCCCACCUCCUCCCCCUUCGUUCCCACGUUCUCCCCCAACUGCGCUCUCCUUGGUAGCACAUAACGAAGACAAUCAGUUGGAUCUAGCAGCGGCGAUGACGGUAACAACACCUAGCACGACGGUGGCGACAAUAACACCCCUAUCACUUCAAUUUAUGAGGUUCACACCCUCUUUCUCUCUGUCUUUUCAGUUUGGAGUUUUUUAGGGUUUAUAUCAAAAUCAUUAAAUUGAAAAUUCAGUUGGACUAAG